AUUGAACGCUGGCGGCAGGCCUAACACAUGCAAGUCGAGCGAGCGGCGGACGGGUGAGUAAUGUCUGGGAAACUGCCUGAUGGAGGGGGAUAACUACUGGAAACGGUAGCUAAUACCGCAUACCAUCGGAUGUGCCCAGAUGGGAUUAGCUAGUAGGUGGGGUAAAGGCUCACCUAGGCGACGAUCCCUAGCUGGUCUGAGAGGAUGACCAGCCACACUGGGACGGAGACGCGGUCCAGACUCUUACGGGAGGGAGCAGUGGGGAAUGUUGCACAGUGGGCGCAGGCCUGAUGCGGCCAGGCCGCGUGUAUGAAGCGGGCCUUCCGGUUGUAAAGUACUUUCAGCGGGGAGGCGUUACCAGCAGAAGAAGCAACGGCUAACUCCGUGCCAGCAGCCGCGGUAAUAC
rnacentral:rRNA from 1 species